CGCCCCUGCUCGCCAGCUCCGCCCCGGGCCCUCCUGACGACCUGCCACGAAACUUCCCCACCGGCGCAGCCGAGGGCUCCCGGGCCCCUGCUGCUCGCCCGGCGGCUGGGCACAGAACGCCCGCCUCCAGGGUCUCUGCCGGGCCGCCCGGGGACGCUCAGUGAGAGUCCUGGGGUGUCGGAGGGCAGGGUCGUCGGGGCGCGCGGGUCCAGGCUGCGGAGCGAUGCCCUGCGCUUGCUUCCUCCCAGAGCGCGUCCACGAGCCGCCGGGGACGAAGGCCUGAAUAUUAUUUUAGAGGCCGAGAGAAAGGCCUAGGAAGACUUAAGGGCAAGACACGGCACCUCUGCUAGUCAGCUGUGCAACUCAAGUAAUGGUCUGGGAGCCCUUUGCUACUAGUUCGCCAGAACAUAAGGAACUAUGCCACAAAGUAAAUCAGCACACAGCUUCCUCACUGAGGAAGUUUUGCGACAAAAAAAUGUCAGGCCUCAGCCAGGCCCCGGCUGCUGUGUCCAGAUACAAGCUCUCUGAUUCGACCACAGCCCUGCAGAUUCCGGACGAGGCCAAGGAGGAGGGGACUACAAGGAGUGAGUUGAGUUAAAAAUCAGAAGCCUUUCUGAAUUUAUCUGCAGCCCCAAGUUGUACACAAUUGUUGCUCCAAUUUCUUUCAAGUAAUUUCAGAGGAAAUAAGGUGUAGUACGGAUUCUGACCAGUACGGAUAUUGGAUCUAAGCUGUGUUUCACAUGUGUGCAGAAAGUAAUACACUCACAUAAAUACCCCAAUGUCCUGCAAGGUCUGGCUCAUUUGUCACCCCAUUCACAAAGCCUCCCCAGAUACUCAUGGCUGGAAGAAAUCUUGCCUUCCCCAGAACUCACUGUACCUGUUAAAUUCAUAUCAUUUCAAUUCGUAACUAUUUAUUGAGCGUUCAACUCGGGGCUAGGGAUUGGGCUAGAUGCUGAGGAUACAAAAUAAAGAAGACAUGAUCUCUUCCUCUUGUUUAUGGGCUGUUAAGUUACCACCACAAAGUGUGAAAAGUGCACUGAUACAGGUACUUGCCAGAAAGAAGGGUGACAUACAACAGAAAGCCAGCAACCUUACUGAAGCAGGCCGGAGAAAGCUUCACAGAGGCUGUGCCAGUUGAGUCUUGGAGGCUGAGUAGGAGUUCACCACGUGGACGUGAGGAAAGGGCAUUCUUGCCGAAGAAACAGCACAAGCAAAGACGUGACCACGUGAGGCUCAUGCAUUAGGGGACUGUUAGAG